UACGAAGGGGGCUAGCGUUGCUCGGAAUCACUGGGCGUAAAGCGCACGUAGGCGGAUCUUUAAGUCAGGGGUGAAAUCCCAAGGCUCAACCUUGGAACUGCCUUUGAUACUGGGGAUCUCGAGUCCGGAAGAGGUGAGUGGAACUGCGAGUGUAGAGGUGAAAUUCGUAAGAUAUUCGCAAGAACACCAGUGGCGAAGGCGGCUCACUGGUCCGGUACUGACGCUGAGGUGCGAAAGCG
rnacentral:rRNA from 1 species